GACGAACGCUGGCGGCGUGCCUAAUACAUGCAAGUCGAACGCUUUUUCUUUCACCGGAGCUUGCUCCACCGAAAGAAAAGGAGUGGCGAACGGGUGAGUAACACGUGGGUAACCUGCCCAUCAGAAGGGGAUAACACUUGGAAACAGGUGCUAAUACCGUAUAACACUAUUUUCCGCAUGGAAGAAAGUUGAAAGGCGCUUUUGCGUCACUGAUGGAUGGACCCGGGGUGCAUUAGCUAGUUGGUGAGGUAACGGCUCACCAAGGCAACGAUGCAUAGCCGACCUGAGAGGGUGAUCGGCCACACUGGGACUGAGACACGGCCCAGACUCCUACGGGAGGUAGCAGUAGGGAAUCUUCGGCAAUGGACGAAAGUCUGACCGAGCAACGCCGCGUGAGUGAAGAAGGUUUUCGGAUCGUAAAACUCUGUUGUUAGAGAAGAACAAGGAUGAGAGUAAAACGUUCAUCCCUUGACGGUAUCUAACCAGAAAGCCACGGCUAACUACGUGCCAGCCGCCGCGGUAA
rnacentral:rRNA from 1 species